AUAUAUAUAUAUAUAUAUAUAUAUAUCUCCCCCUUUUUAGAAAUGACAAAUUAGAGGACGAACACAGCAUAAGCAGAUUGUACAAAAGGUUUUCUGAAUUGUACAACAAACUUAGUUUUUCCCAUUUUUUUCUGCUAACACGUGUAUUGUCCUCUAGAAACCACGUACCACUUCAUAUUGCAAACAGACUAUCUUACAGAUUUCUAUCAUCCUUCUCUUUUAAACAUUGGCUUUGUUCUUCACUCUUCUCAUAGUUUCUCUAUCAUUUGUUUUGAUUUUCUACUAUGUAUUCAUUUCUACGUGAAUGAUCCAAAAGGUUGGUGCUUUGUUUCUACUAGAUGUCUGUUGUUUAUGUAUAUUUUAUUUAUUUAUCCCAAGAAAUGGUUUGUCCUUUGUUUGCAUCUAUUUCAAUUGCAAGUUGUUGCUAUUAGUUAAACUCUGUGUUAGCGAAAAAAUUUAGAUAUAAUGUACAGUUUUUUCAGCACUCUAUUAAACUAUAAAUAUUAUUUUUAUCAAGAUAAAAUAUUUCUCGAAGUAAGAAUGUCAACAUAUGAGGGCAAUACAUAGAUUUUAAAAGACCAAGGACAUCGGCUAGAUGAUAGAGUUAUGGACUACUUUUACCUUUUUUUGGUUAAAGGUAAAGCAUGAAGAAGUUGUACAUGCAUAAAUUUAGAUAUAAUGUGCAGUUUUUUCAGCACUCCAUUAAACUGUAAAUAUUAUUUUUAUCAAGAUAAAAUAUUUCUCGAAAUAAGAAUGUCAACAUAUAAGGGCAAUACAUAGAUUUUAAAAGACCAAGGACAUCGGCUAGAUGAUAGAGUUAUGAACUAUUUUUUCCUUUUUUUGGUUAAAGGUAAAGCAUGAAGAAGUUGUACAUGCAUAUGUGGUGUUCCGUGAAAGUUUUGAAUAAGCUUUUCCUUGUUUUUUGGACAAAAAAUUUUCUACUUCAUUAGUCAAUAAAUCAAUAAGUAUGUUACUAUGGACAACUUCAAUCUCUUGUUAUCAUUUAUAUUUAGAAAUAUGUUUCAAAUGUAUAAUAUACUUCUCUUUAUAUAGUGAGGUGCUUUCUUUCUUAAAUUUUUUCCACUCAAAUUUUAUUGGGGUGCUUAAAUUUGAUAAUAAUAGUUAUCCUCUUAAACGAAAACUUCUUAGAGGACUAAAUGAAGGAUGGAUUGAAGUACUCCAUCAUAUCUAUUUGAUCUCUCUUAACUUUGAUGGUUGAAUAGGUGUAUAAUGUGAUUUCAAGAAUCUUCUUUCUCAAAUUCGUAGUAGGAUUCAUGUAUGUUGUCUUCAAAUGGAUGUUGUGAGUCGUAUAUUAGUACACAAAGGUGUUUUUCCGAGUUAACCCUCAAAUCUGAGUAAAUAUUGUUUGGAGAUGGUUAGCCCUUAACUCUAAAAUGUUAACUCUAUUUGUCUUUUCUAGACAUAUGGUUGCUUACAUUCAUUUUGUUCCUUCAUGCUUCAAUGACAAUUAACAUAGACAUUUGUACUUCCUUUUGCUCCUGGAUUUCUUUUAUCAUUAGUGUUGAACUACAACUCUUCAUUUGAUAAGAUAUUCAUUUGGUUAUAGAAGGUUCAAGCUCAAACUUAGUAAAAUGUGUAGUACAUGUUUCAUGUCGAACAUGAUCUUUUUUAUGGUCUUACCAACAAGUGAAUGAAUACCUCAAUUUGGGAUUAUAGGAAGUCAAAAUGUACAGCUGAUUUCUUUUCCUAAUCAACCGAAAUAAGUAUUUGACGAGAAACUAUUGCAAGCUGUUGUUGAAACAUUGCUAUUGUGCCGACACUUUUAGUUUCAGGACAACUUUCUCAAUGGCGAAAUCAGGCCUCAACUUAAUAUUUGACAUGUUUCCAUUAAAGAUGUCAAUCUGAUCCUUAUUUGAGCUAUCCUGAAGAUUCAACAUCAUUGCAUAUUUCUCAACAAAAGUUGUCUACAUCUAUGUUAAAUUUUAAUUAUUUGGAGUUUGGAUACUGUUUAAAAAUUAGAGUUUCAUCUCUGCAGCUGCAGAUUUGAAUAAGUUUGUCCUAGGAAAGAGGCAAAAGUUAUACUGAAAGAAGUUGAAGGCAAAAGCUUCUAAUUUUUGUAUAAAGCAGACUGCUCGGAGGGAAUGGCUAUAUUGAUUCUUUUCAUCAUGACCACGAGGAUCACGUAGAACAACCUGUUUUGGUAAGCCUACAAAUCCAGACCCAGAUCAUCGUUAGUUUUAUUGCUUUCUGAAUCAUAGUAGUUUCAAGCUUAAUGAGCUUGAUUUUUUGAUAAAGUAGAAAUCCUCCUUGUUCAUUUUCCAUUACUGGGAGUUUCUGAUCUGAGAAUCUGCUAUCUUUUAAACUACUGGUGUGAGGAUUACUUUUGUAGUUUUUCAUUGAUCGGUUUUUGUUACUAUCUUAUUUCUUCUACUUUGAUCAUAGUGUUAUAUUGUUGUAGAUACUGUUCAACAUGCCUUGUUAUGCUUUCACAUAAAUUACUUCUUUUAUCGGAUUGCUUUGAUUUGUUUUUCGUUGAACCGACUGUCUAUCAGAGAGGGACUCGAAUUUGUGGGACUACAUUAUCUUCUUGUUGUUGUAUUUUUGUUUCAUCAAUUGUUUUAGGAUUUUCACAAUACUGGUUGGUAGAUACUAGGAUUUUCACAAUACUGAUUGGUAGAUAUAUAUCUCCUUAUUUAGAAAUGAGAAUUAAAAAGGACAAACACUAUAUCUUCUAAUUGUACUAAAGGUAGUACAGAUUGUAUAGUAAAUUUUGCUCUUUUUCAUUGAUGAACAAAUAUUUGUCUCAUUUUGCUUGACUUUGUGUACAACUUUUGCACUAUUUUCUUACAAUUCUCUAUAGAUUUUUGCUAAGCUUGGUUUAUUUUCUCAACUCUUUUUUUGUAGAUCUCAACUCUUCAAUGGUGAAUCUAUGUGUUGCUAAGUUUCUUCUCUUUGUGUAGAAACUAAAUCUCUCUGCCUCAAGAUUUUUGUUUGUUUAGGAUGCCUUAUCGAUGUUUUCUCAAGAUUUAAGGUAAAUUUACAUGUUUUUCAAUUUGCCUAAUUGACCUAUUUUCUCUUCAAGGUCAAAUCUCUGAUUUUAAUAUUCAAAGGGCUAUUUCGGGUCCUUGUACUUUUUGUACUAUGCUUCAAUACAAAAAUACAAGAGUAGACAAAUUAUGGUUUGUUUCACAUUAAACAUAUUAGCACACAAUAAAGUUUUGACGUUUCUAGCUCAUAUUUCGAAAAGUAAAAGGCUGAAGAACAAUGUUUCUUUUCUCUGUAUGUAGUACGCAACUCAUAAAAUAUAUUUAGUGAAUGAUUUCCUCGGAGAAAAUAUGUUUUGUUGAUGUUCUUUCAAAGAUGUUUGCUCAUAAAAUGCUCCCUUUCUUUAUUUGUGAAGAGAAAACAUUUUGAUACUUCUUAACAAUGUCUAGCUUGCACCUACUAUGAUGUCAAUGUAAGCGACAUAAUAUGAGAUGUGCAAAGGAGCAUAUGUUAGCCCUGCGUAUUACUAUGUACUAUUAAAUUAGUAACAAUAGUAGGAUAAAUAUUGUGUUUUUAGCAACAUUUAGGGCU
rnacentral:lncRNA from 1 species